GGUCCUUCUUCAGAAAAAAACAGUUGAAUGUUUGAAAUGGAAAAGUUGAAUUUGAAGUUAUAAUAAUUGUUGGUACUAUUUUGAAACCUGUCCUUGAAGUUUUUCUGCUGCCUUUGUGGAGAUUUGAGUCCUCCUUUACAGAAAUAAAGUUUAUUGUGUGAAACGUUUAAAAUUCAUCAAGAAUUACUUGAAAGUUGAAGUUAGAAUUAUUUUGAAGCUUUGCUGCAACCUGUAUAGAGAUUUAAGCGCAUAUCAUUAUUAGCUGUGACCUGCUGUAUGGCCAUGUCUGAUCUGGAAAGUACCACUGUUGAUGAUAACG